CAUACCCACUGACCCGUCUCAAAAGCCACACCCAUCUUCCCCAAAUUGAAAGAAUUUAUCCUCUCCUAAAGAGUUUCUCGUGACCAACAAAUUGAAAUUUACACAGCACUCUCACUUGGCCUCACAUCACGAUCUUCGGCGUCAACUCAGGCGAAGGCGUCGCACCACUCCGUUAGCAACUCCGUUGAUUUUUUUGGACUGAAAACGGUUCGAAUUCGGUGUCCACAUUUGAAGACGGCUUCACCUCUGCUCUAACUACACUUCAAAACAUGAUUGUGCCGGCACUUGCUUUACCGUAUCCGGCAGACUGCUAAAUCAGCACUACAAGCAUCAAUAUCUCCCGACAUUUUUCAACUAAUGUUCUUUCCAGAGAAUGGGUGGAAGGAAUUAUGGAAUAUGUCAUAGCUGUAGAGCUAAGGAUCACUUCUUCGAUGAAUGCCCAAAGAAACGCUGAUGCCCUAUGUGCAAGAAUGGAUUCGAGAAAUGUUUUGUGGUGGAGAAGGAGACCAAAAAUAAAGGGCGACUAUUUCUUCGAUGCAGUGACAACUGUGGAUUCUGGGAUUGGGUUGUGAAAGAAGAAUCCAACAUUCAACCCACUAAUGACAGCGUUUCCUCAAUGAAUCCUACGACAAACAAAGGAGUUGAAGAUAUGUCAAACAUGUUCAAAUCUCAAGUUCGCCUCAAUGAUGACGAAGAACUACAUAUUUCGAUGAAAUGAAAGUGGCGAUCCGCAAGUCCAAAGGAAGGUAGAAGGGAAUGGGAAAGGGAAGGGUUUGUCUUGAUUAGUAGAUAGUAAUCGAAUGGGCCAUGACGUGAAAGUUCCCACACUGUCCAAAUAUUCGCAUGAAGGAAUUUAGGCAGAUCUUAUUUAUUUUUAUCUUAUCAUGUAACGUUGGUCCUUUUGUCUCAAUAUUAAAAGUCUUUUAUGUUGAAUUA